UACAGAGGUCUCAAGCGUUGUUCGGAUUCAUUGGGCGUAAAGGGUGCGUAGGUGGCGUGGUAAGUCGGGUGUGAAAUUUCGGAGCUUAACUCCGAAACUGCAUUCGAUACUGCCGUGCUCGAGGACUGGAGAGGAGACUGGAAUUCAUGGUGUAGCAGUGAAAUGCGUAGAGAUCAUGAGGAAGACCAGUGGCGAAGGCGGGUCUCUGGACAGUUCCUGACACUGAGGCACGAAGGCCAGGGGAGCAAACGGG
rnacentral:rRNA from 1 species